GCGGCUGCGCAGUGGCGCUACAUCCGGGCACUGGAGCAGGAUGAAUGCUCCUUUCCAAGAUGGCGGCGGAGGGAGGAGGGAAGGAGAUGAACGAGAUUAAGACCCAGUUCACCACCCGGGAGGGGCUGUACAAGCUGCUGAGCCACUCGGAGUACAGCCGGCCUAACCGGGUGCCCUUCAACUCGCAGGGCUCCAACCCGGUCCGCGUUUCAUUCGUCAACGUCAACGACCAGAGCGGCAACGGGGACCGGCUCUGCUUCAAUGUGGGCCGGGAGCUCUACUUCUACAUCUACAAGGGGGUCCGCAAGGCUGCGGACUUGAGUAAACCAAUAGACAAAAGGAUAUACAAAGGAACACAACCUACAUGCCAUGACUUCAAUCACUUAACAGCCACAGCAGAAAGUGUGUCUCUUCUAGUGGGCUUCUCUGCAGGCCAGGUCCAACUUAUAGACCCUAUUAAAAAAGAAACUAGCAAAUUAUUUAAUGAGGAAAGACUAAUAGACAAGUCCAGAGUAACCUGUGUAAAAUGGGUACCAGGUUCGGAAAGCCUUUUCCUAGUAGCUCAUUCCAGUGGCAAUAUGUACUUGUAUAAUGUGGAGCACACUUGUGGUACCACAGCCCCGCACUACCAGCUACUUAAACAAGGAGAAAGUUUUGCAGUUCACACGUGCAAGAGUAAAUCCACAAGAAACCCUCUGCUUAAAUGGACAGUAGGUGAGGGUGCCCUGAAUGAAUUUGCCUUUUCCCCAGAUGGGAAGUUCUUGGCGUGCGUAAGCCAGGAUGGUUUUCUUCGUGUGUUUAACUUUGAUUCAGUGGAAUUGCACGGUACAAUGAAAAGCUACUUUGGAGGACUGCUGUGUGUGUGUUGGAGUCCCGAUGGGAAAUACAUAGUGACAGGUGGAGAGGAUGACUUGGUAACAGUUUGGUCUUUUGUGGACUGUCGAGUAAUAGCAAGAGGCCACGGACAUAAAUCGUGGGUCAGUGUUGUUGCGUUUGAUCCAUAUACCACUAGUGUAGAAGAGAGUGACCCGAUGGAAUUUAGCGGAAGUGAUGAGGAUUUCCAAGACCUUCAUUUUGGCAGAGACCGAGCAAAUAGUACGCAAUCUAGGCUAUCCAAAAGGAACUCUACAGACAGUCGUCCAGUAAGUGUUACAUAUAGAUUUGGUUCAGUAGGCCAGGACACACAGCUCUGUUUGUGGGAUCUUACAGAAGAUAUCCUCUUCCCCCACCAACCUCUUUCAAGAGCAAGGACACAUACAAAUGUCAUGAAUGCCACAAGUCCACCCGCUGGAAGUGGUGGACCUAACCCAGGAAGUAAUGGAAACAGUAUCACAACACCUGGAAAUUCUGUACCCCCUCCUCUUCCACGGUCAAACAGCCUUCCGCACUCUGCAGUCUCAAAUGCUGGCAGUAAAAGCAGUGUCAUGGAUGGUGCCAUUGCUUCUGGUGUUAGUAAAUUUGCAACGUUAUCACUACACGAUCGGAAGGAAAGACACCAUGAAAAAGAUCACAAGAGAAAUCAUAGCAUGGGACAUAUAUCUAGCAAGAGCAGUGACAAACUGAACCUAGUUACUAAAACCAAAACGGACCCAGCUAAAACUUUGGGAACACCUCUCUGUCCCCGAAUGGAAGAUGUUCCCUUGUUAGAGCCUCUUAUCUGUAAAAAGAUAGCACAUGAAAGACUGACUGUGUUAAUUUUUCUUGAAGACUGUAUAGUCACUGCUUGUCAGGAGGGAUUUAUUUGCACAUGGGCAAGGCCUGGUAAAGUGGUAAGUUUUAAUCCUUAAUGCUGCAUCAAAGAACUAGAACUCUGAAUAGGUAGUUUUCUUGAAAUAUAAAUGAAUGUUGAAUAUAAAAUUUCUUUAUGCUUAAUGUAAAAAAAAAAAUCCUCAGAGCCAUACUUUUGGAUACUGCAUGCCAUAUUUCUGAAUGAUUUGAAGUGUCUUGGAUACAGUUAUUAAGUAUAGUUGCCUUCCAGCAGAAGAAAUAAAUACUGUGCAUCUAAACUAUUGAUCAGUGUUCUUAUACUUAAGCAUAACCACAAUAUGGUAAAAGCUAUUUAUGUAAAAAUUGAAGUAAAACCUGUCAAUCACUAAAAUAAUUAUAAUCCUUCUAAUAUUUUCUACAAAAUACAGCACUCCCGAUGACAGUAGCUUAUGAAAAGCUGCUGCUUUUAAGUCUAAUGAGAAAUGUACGCCUCUGAAAGAAUUAAAACCAAAGUGUUUUGUUCCUCCAUACUUUUCUGUGGUGGCCUGGCAUUAAUGUAAAACCACUUCCUAUUAAAACGUCAGCCAUUUUAUGCACAGAUUUGUGAGCCCUUUACUGACUGUAGUUUAUGCUCUUGAAAUUGUGGAUCAGUAUGAUCAAGGAACUCUUAAUUUUUGAUUUAUGUAUUUGUUAAGUUAGGGAAAAUCAUGCAAGCUUUCUCUAAGUAGUUUGUGUUCUGUUACUGUCAGUUUUGUUAGGCACUUUGAUCAUCGACAAGCUCGUGCUUUUUGAUGGCACCUGUUCUCUCAGUUGAACCUUCAUUAAAAUAUAUUGCUAGUUUUAACUCUUGUUUUUAAUGCACUUGAACACAGAUAACUUUAUUUUUUUCUGUCCAACGUAUAGCCAGCUGAAUUUUGAAUUAAGCUAAACGUGGUGAUUAUUUUAUUAAAAAGUACUUUGUGCUACAGUAGCUUUUGCCAGCUUGUUUGCCAGCAACAUUUUAAAGGAAUACAGCUAUGAAAAUCUUACCAGAGUUGAUCUAGCAAAACAGAUGUUAUUUUUGUGAAAAAUUCUGAGAGGGAAUGUAGGUUAUCACCUGAAGAAAAAUAAUCUGGUAAUACCUGAAUAUUGCCACGUUGGGCAACCUAAAUGAAAAUCUGAUGAUCAUUAGGUUCUAACCAUUUGGUUCAUAAAUCUGACUUUUGAAGUGGAGGUACUGUAUAUAUUUAUAUACCACAUCUUCGUUGCUAUAAACUUUUAAGUAAAACUCAAUAAUUUAUCUUAAAACUAUCUGUAUAAUAUAAAUUUCUUUGAGAUGCUAUCAAAUGCAUCUAGGUAUGUGUAGAGGGCUAUAUCUGCUCUGCAUCGUAAUGCAUAUUUAAAGGUUGAAUCUAAAACUAAAAAUUGUAAACUGUUUCUGGGGAGAAGGGAGGAGGGUUUUUUCCUAAAAACGACAGACCCAGCAUUAAUUUAAAAAAAAAAAAAAAGGUAAAGCACACCGCCCCCCCCCCCCCCCCAACACUAAAGUAUUUAAAAUGUUUGUCCUAAAUGAAAAUACUAACCCAGUUAUCACUUCUGUGACUGAGUGCAAUUCACGGCUUAUGAAUUAACUUUAUACACAUACAGCAGUGCCUCAGAUUUCUAUUGUGACCUAUAUUUUCUUUUUGUUCUAAAGCUCCUUUGUGUACCACUAAACACUACGCUAUUAAACUUAUUUUCAGUGGCUGAGGUGGGUUUUGUUAGACUGGCUAUAACAUAAAUAUCUUUGUGUAUUGACUUUGAUUUGGAAUAUGACAUUUCAAAUAUUUCAGAGAUAAAGUAUGCAGUACCAAAAAAUCAGGAUUUAUGUAUUGGCCAAUAUGGGAAACUUUAAUUACAGGACUCUACAGGAGCUCUUUCCUCUGUGGACUCUGGUGCAGGGUAUGUUCUUUAUUCCAGCUUUAGAUCUUGACAUGUACCUAAUGAAUGUGGAAUUUACAGCCUGAGGGUAUGGCUCACUCAGAUGAUCCAGCCAUUUUCUGUCUAGAGAAACAGUGGCUAGUCUAGAGCUAAACUCGGCUGAACUAGAACUAAACUGGUCUAAAACUUUGCCUGCAAAAUUUCUUGGAACCAGUUUAGCAAAGACUUAAGACAUUGCACUUCCAUCUGAGUGGAGUAGGGAUGGCGUCACCCUUGCAGCAGUGGUUCUGUGUUAACCAACGAAGGAGCCAAACAAAUUAUAUUUACUACAGUGUUUCAGAGGCACUUUUGAGAAAUUUCAGUGAAAAAGUUAGUUACUUUGGCUGCAGUCUAACCGAGGUAGGACUUUGUCUCUUAGGUGGAAAUACUUUAGACUAAAGCUGAGGAAAUCUUCUCUGAACUUGAGAACUUUCUGGUACUUCAGAAGGUACUGAUUUGCCACUAUGGUGUUCAAGGUAUGUAACACAUACAUAUAUUUAAGAACAGGUGCCAGUGGAGGAACAAAAUGAAAUCUAGCCUGAAAGCCUCUGGGAAACAUCCAGUUACAUCAAGUGAUGCAAUAACUGUUUGGUCAAACCAAUUUCUCAACAGUCAGUGUGAAACAAACUUAAUGUUCACUAGUUCUGUGGUCAUAGAAGAUACUUCGGCAAAAGAUGUAUUGGAAUGUGGAAGUGUAGUCUUGCUUGUUUUUAUUUAAGAACAUUGCACAAAACUCUCAAGGAAAUAACUUGUAUGAUCACAUUAUUUUCUGGUUUUUGAAGUUGGAUUCUAGGUAGAUGCCAGUCAACCGUAUCAAACUCAUUUCACUCAUUUCUUCUCCUGAUAAGAUCAUGCUUAUUUUACAACUAACCCAAGUCACAUGCUUUUCCCUGAGGUUUUCCCUGUUUUAUUUCAAUUUUAUUAUUUUCUAAUCUGAAAACUUUAAACCUUGCAGAGUUUUGUGGUUUGAGGGAGCUAGAGAAACAACUGUUCCUAAGCUUGUGAGCCUUUACUACUUAAACGAAGCUUAAAGUCCUAUUGCUCGAGCCAAAUCAGGUUUCUGCUGGCAAAAGACUUUGCAUCUUAAAUUAUUUUUUUUUCUCUUGAACAUGCAUAUCUUCCACUUGCCAGUCAUAUACUAGUCUUGCAGUAAUCUUGCCUAAUACCACUAGACAGAUUUUUAGUUAGUCUUAGUCUGCUGGUUUUCUAGCAGCCUUGACUUUUUGUUGACAAUGAGUAAAAUGGUGAUGUACCCGUUAGGAGAAAAAAAAAACUCCUUUAUGUACAUAGAAGAGAAGUUGCAAAUGAAACCUCCCUGAUGCUACUACAUGCUUUUACAAGAUCUGGUGUCAAAUGGUGUUACAGAAAAAUAUGAAUGCUGAAACUAUUAGAACAAAGGGGCGGGGGGGGAAGGCAAAUGGAAGACAAAUACUGUGUUUAAAACUGUUUAGUGAACAGACUGUGUAAAGAUAGGCAUCAGCUUCGCUGUAUCCCCCUCAAUCCCAUACAAAAUAUUCCUCUGUAGUAUGAUAUGUAAAUAUUCAGCCUAUGCUUCCUUGAACAUUCUUAGUUUAUUAAUUUUAUGACUCCAUUAGAGAUUAAUAUCUGAUUUAGUGAGUAUAUGCAGUUCAGAGACUUGGGCUAAUAAAUGCUGAAUUGUUUGGAUAAGAAACUGUUGGAGAUUUUUUCAUGCAAAUCUUAAAAACAGUUCAGCUGAUUUGACUACAGAACUUUAAACAAAUGUGAAAAAUCUCAUUCCAUUUUGGCGUAUUAUUAUUGCUCAAAUACUGUAUUGGACUGUGGGUUCUUUUGUCAAGCAAAGGUCUUGGUCCAGAUUACUUUUUCAGAAUACUCCAGCAUAUCUCUGUUCUGGACAAGAAUAAACUACCCAUGGAAUAUUCUUCAAAUAAUAAAUUCAAAUUAUUUCAUAAACUGGCAAUAGCAGUAUAACAUUGAUUUAACAAAUCAAUGCCAUUUUUGUAUGGGCAUUUAUUAAUUCAGCUUUUUAAAAUUGGUUUAAUUGCAUUAGUGAAGUGUACUAUGAGACCAGUUAAACUAUAUAUGCCCCAAAGGGUUUGGUCCCCCCGUCUCCCCCCACAUUGUUUGUUUGUUACAUUGGACCCUGUGCUUUGUUUUUACUACCUUUCAGUUUCAAAACAAAGUAGGAAAGAUGUGCAGAGUUCUGACACCGGCAUGUUAGCGAGAGCCAGCCGAGCUAUUGCUGAGGGAGCGUGCUCUUGGCGCACGCUCAGCCUUCGCCAGGGACAAGGGCGUGGGGAAGUAGCACAUAGGCAUUAACUGCCUGUGCCCUGCUCAUGUGCCCAAACUUGUGCUUUAUUAUCCUGAUUAGUGAAACUACAUAUGAUUGCAUCUUUGGUGCCAGUUAAUCCUCUUGUAAUUUACAUGAAGAAAAUAUUUAUUAACUUAGUAGUUACUGAUGGCUUUUUUUUACUCAGUACUAUCCUCCUGAUUUCUUCUGUUCUUUAUUUUUUUAAAUACAGCAAUUACGUGCUGAUCUUUCAUAGAAUUAGUUUCUGUUGUGAAAUGCUGUGUUUUGUAUCUUUGGAAAAAAAACAAACUUUUGGCUGGAGCAUAUGCGGAAUUAAAAAAACCCAAACAAACCAAAAACAAACAAAAAAGAACCCACAUUAAAAAAAAAAAAGCCAACAAAACAAAAAAACCCAACCAACCAAAAAAAACCCCACACCAAAACCCAAAACCCCACACAAAACGCCCCCUCCCUGCAAUCUCAUUAACUGUGAGGAGGGCUUAUCUUAACCCUGCGGCAGGUCUUUCUGAACAGACCGCAGCUAUGAGUGCCAUGAACCUUGGGUGAAAAUGACCUUAUUGAUUGUAUUUGUUACGGCUUUUCAUUCCCACCCAUGUGAGCCUAUUUUUACCAAAAAUGCAAAGGCCUGUGUGUUUUGGGAAGUCAGAGAGUGCAUAGAUAAAUGUGGAAGAGCUCUAGCAACUAGUGCUGAACCAGUUUGUGUUUAAUACAUUCCCAUUGCUAGUCGACAUAAGACAAACGACGCUGUCCUCUGCACAAGAAGCACGCUUCAGCUGUAGAGUGUUCUGUUACGAUGGCAGAUGAUGUAGCACCUACUUGGAGGACCCUCUCGCAGGUGGUGAUGAAGAUUGUUUUAUCAAAUUCCUGACCUGGGUCUCAUAACUGUCCCGUUUCCCACCCCCUGCCAGACCCACAUGCUGACAAAAUAAUACUGCUAAUAAAAGGCUACAUUUAUUUUCAAAACUUCUUUGAACAGUCUUUUAAUUUGGUUCUGCUGCUUGCUCAGUAUGAUCUGUUUGCUCUUAAACUUUGAGCUGAUGCGCUGUACAGCACGGCAGAGCUGCAGUUGCCACAUCUCAGUUCUGUGUUUUCAGCUGUUAAGCUGUGCAGCUUUGCACUAAUCAGUUGCUGCAGCUUUUGUCCCAUCUCUUACCACCUGGUUGACUAGACUGGGUGGUUUAAUCACAAAAAGUGCUGUGGUCUAAUUUCUUUCUUUACAGGCAGGAGCUUUCUGUUUAUUUUUUUUUUAAAUAACCUUAUCCAUCGUAUUAUUCCCAGAGAAUGCAAUCACAAAUAUUCUGUUCUCACACCCUUUGUAUUACAGAUCAGACUCUUAGAGGGUCACUUUUGUAUCAAAACUGUAACUUUCUUUGAGCCUUCACUUGCUUUCCUGAUGUGGCUUUCUAAAGCUUCCUAUGUUACACCCAACAUAACUCCUCAAAUGGCCUUGCUUGAAAGGCUCUGAUAUAAUGGCAGAAUUCUAUAUGAUAAUUUUUGUUGUUUGGGACCCACUGAAAACACUCACCACUUCGGCAAAGCUUCCAUGCCUAAAAAUCAAAUUCUUAUUCUUGCUUUUCUUGUAUGAAUGUCUAAGGCAUCUUCUGAAAUUAAGUACUUGGAAGAACUCACAAAAUUCCUAAUCUCUGUCGCAGCAGCGAAGUUCUAGAAAUGCCAUCGUAGCCUGGGAUAGUUUCAAGGCAAUACUUGCAAAGUUUUUUGAAGUGUUUGUCUGCAGUAGCACAACAAUAUUGAUCUUGAGUCUUUCCACUCAGGUGUUCCUCUGGCUUCCCUACUCAGAGUUGCAGAAUUAAUUCAGAGCAAGGGCUGAAAUAUAAGGAGUUCCCACUGCGCUUGUGCCCUUCAAAGCAGGGACUCUUCAUGGCCUGGGAGGUGAAACCAGGACUGAGUGACUGUGUUCCCAGUCUUGGAACUUGAAUUCCAUGAGUGUCUGGUAGGUAGUUCACAGGGCAGAAGGCACCGCACUGAAUUUCCAUAUGUGCCACCUGUUGCUAGAGGGGUUGUAGGAAAACGAAUGAUUCUUCAUUUUGCUGCCCAAGAAUUGGCUGCAUUACAGUGUGACUCUGACAUUAGAACAGAGCUUAUUUCUCUUCGUCUGUAUGGCAUGGUUAUGAGCCUGUUGAAAAAGACUUUGUAUUAUGCCAUCCCUAGUACUGUGAACGUGCUUACAAAGCACAUAUUUGCAUAUGAACAGUGAUCCAACACUGAUUUAGUAAAGACUGAAAAUAAUACCUUUGGACGUCUUUUUCCAGGGUACUUGAAAGUUGCUUAGUGGAUGUAAUCUGGCAAGAAAGGCCUUCCAGUUGCUGCUGGAUUUAAUAGACUUCUGAAGAAUGCUUUGGUAAUGAACUACAGAGUUCUGAUUCAUCUUCAUUGCUUUUGAACAAAACUUUCUUCAUAAAAAAAUUUCAGAAGUGCUUCAGUUGUUUGCUCUAAAAUUCUGCCUUUUUUCACCAUCUAUUCCUUAACUAAUAACGUGAAACUUUUUGUUCUCUUCUUGCGAAGUACGCAGCAUCUUUGCUAUCUUUGCACAUCCUGAAUGUCCAUCAGGUUUAAAGACAACCCACCUCAGCCUACCUCAACAGUGUUUGAAUCAGAUAUCUGCUACAUAAACAAGUAAAAAUAGAGCAGGUGUGAUCUAGGGAGGGCACCAAACAAAGCGCCACAUUAUUAUAUAUAAAUGUAAUAUCAAAUGUGUGCGUGCGUGCACACACGCUGCCUGCAGUAAGUCCUACAAAUGUAUCCAGGUCCAUAAUGUGUCUGACCCUGGUAGAUUAGAUGGUUUUUAAAAAGAAGGGCUGUGGUUUUAUAAGAAACUUGAUGACCUGAAUCCAGGCGGUCCAGCCCCCCUUCACCUCUUCUCUCUACGGUCAGGGUUCUCUUCCAUCAGUCAGGACCUUUCGAUCUUGGAUCCAAGCAAGAAAGAGCUCCUGUAGAUUCUGAAGAUGUGACCCAGUUUCACAUCGUGUGCUAAUUGCUGCCUGAGCUUGUCUAGUUUGAUGGAUCUGAGUCACAGGAUCUUAAUUUUGAGGUAAGAACCUAAGAUGGUAGCUCUUUAAAGGAAUUGCCAAAAGUGCAUUUAUCACGCUCACGUAGCAGGGAGUUGCGCAGUGAUACUCACUGGUGUGCUUCCAGCUUAGCGGCCGUUGUGCUCCUCAGCCUGCUGGCGCUCGUCAUAACUAAAUAAUGACCUUGCAAGAAGACUAAAUUGUACUUUGAUAUUAAGCUUUUUCUAAAUGAGUCUGAUAUGCCAUUGUUUUUACUUGAAUUAUUAGAAAGAGGCUACUAUCUGCAAACUUGAAAUGGAAACCCUCCAUUGACAUCUGUCUGUAAGGUGUAGUUGCCUUAGUCCGGAGCAGUAGCCGCUGCCUGGCAAGGGGUGCUGCGCAGUCACGGGAUUGUGUCUGGAACGAUGUAAUCUCGUUUUAUUUGAAUGGCGAUGUAGUUUAGUUAAAUGAGCUGGUAAAAAAGUUUUCCUGAAUGCACGCUUUAAAUUGUAACGGGAACCCUUUACUGAGCUCUUGCUCAGUGUUUCAUUCUCUUUUAAAAUUACCAAAACAAAUAUUUGGUUGGAUAAUCUAUUUUUCUAUUCAAAGCUUGUAAUACUCAAUACCAUAUAAGAGACCGAGUGUUUCCCUGUAUCAGGUUAUGUGUCAAACUUUGUUAAUAUUGGAAUAGGUUUGUUCGUUGCUACCCUAACAAAAUGCUGAUCACUUUUUUUUGGUCUAUGAUUUUUAAAGUUUCACAGUUCACAAUGACUCAAAAUGCAAGGUAGAUUAAACCAAAUGCUGGGAUCAGCUUCAUGGUGUGUCAUGAACACACACGCUUUCUUACUUACUGAAAGCUCUUUUGGGCGCUGCUCGACUGAUACUGUAGCGGCUUAGAUGCUUUUGUAGGAAAGAAGGUGCUAAUGUGUAAAGUAAACCAGUGGCAGUAAAAAUAAAUUGUACUUGGUUUAGCUUCAGGCUAAGAACUUUAUAAAAUUAAUGUCAGGUUCUCUUGCUGGAUUAAUGUAAACUGCUUUGUUUGCAGGGUUUAUUGUCAUCCCAAAACCAGGCCAAUUCUCCAAGUGGAACUGUAGUAUAGCCAUCACACUACUGCUAGCAAACCUCUGAACACAGGACAAGAAGUAAUGACAGUGGAACCAGGAGCUGUUCUUCAGGCAAAGAGCAUCACAAAUUAUAAGGCGGCAGAGUGUAAACAUGGAAUUAUGUGAAUCACAUAGUAAUUUGCAAAGGAACAAUGUAAUGAGUUCUUAUCACAGCUAAUGCUGCUCACCCGAGGAAGAGUUUUCAUUUGGAAACAAAAAAAACCCAAACCAACCAAACAAAAAAUCCCAAGCUUCCUUUGGUGCCGCAGGAAAAUAUAGGAACAUUUUUUGUUUUCUUUAUACUUUUCAAGUCCAGUGUAAUUUAAUCUCGCUCUAUAAAUAUAUAAAUAAAAGAUAUAUAUAUAUAUAGUGUAAAAUAAAGUAUGUUUCUUAAAUUCAAGUAAGUUCAAUGGUUAAACUAGUACUUCACCAUUGUUUAUUUUGCACUGAUUUUUUAACCAGAGAUGGCUAGAAGAGAGCCUGGAAUGCACUCAUGGAAAAUGAAAGGCAUUUACUUUCUGGCUUCAAAAUGUUAUUCAGGAAGAUGGAUGCUGCAAUCACAGAUUUUUAAGACAAAAUUGUUUUGCACUUAAAUAGUUUAAUGCUAAUAGAGAAUUACUUUAAAGUUGGUGUCCAGACACCAGAAAAACUAUGUUGUGGAGAAAAGAUCCUUUGUAUCUAUUAAACAUUUAUUUUAAUAUUGUUGUUUCCAACUGCAGUCAGCUCUGUAUAAUAUGUAUAAAUAAUGUAAUUCAGUGAUGGGGGAGGGGAGUAAUGGAUCAUUACACUAGAAAUUCUCAUUCAUUUAAGAAAGUGAUAUUUCUAAUUCAGAAAAUACAUAUUAAACUAUAUUGAAUAUGCAUUUUUGUUUACUUUCUGUUCAAAGUUGAUCACUUUUGAUGUAAUCAAGCCUUUGUUGAAUUAAAUGUUUGGUACAGAAAUACCA